rnacentral:rRNA from 1 species
UAAUCCCUUGCGGCCAAAGAGAGGGGCCCUUUGGGCCCCUUCGGCUCCAGGAUACCCCUAGGGGGGUUUAAGUUAUGUGGUGGAGUAAGUGCUCAACCAAGGGGGACGUUCCCCUAGGUGGUCUGAGGAGGAUGUUCAGCCCACUGGGAAUUGAGACACGGUCCAGAUUCUUACGGGAGGCAGCAGUGGGGAAUAUUGCACAAUGGGCGCAAGCCUGAUGCAGCCAUGCCGCGUGUGUGAAGAAGGCCUUCGGGUUGUAAAGCACUUUCAGUCGUGAGGAAGGUAGUGUAGUUAAUAGCUGCAUUAUUUGACGUUAGCGACAGAAGAAGCACCGGCUAACUCCGUGCCAGCAGCCGCGGUAAUACGGAGGGUGCGAGCGUUAAUCGGAAUUACUGGGCGUAAAGCGCAUGCAGGUGGUUUGUUAAGUCAGAUGUGAAAGCCCGGGGCUCAACCUCGGAAUAGCAUUUGAAACUGGCAGACUAGAGUACUGUAGAGGGGGGUAGAAUUUCAGGUGUAGCGGUGAAAUGCGUAGAGAUCUGAAGGAAUACCGGUGGCGAAGGCGGCCCCCUGGACAGAUACUGACACUCAGAUGCGAAAGCGUGGGGAGCAAACAGGAUUAGAUACCCUGGUAGUCCACGCCGUAAACGAUGUCUACUUGGAGGUUGUGGCCUUGAGCCGUGGCUUUCGGAGCUAACGCGUUAAGUAGACCGCCUGGGGAGUACGGUCGCAAGAUUAAAACUCAAAUGAAUUGACGGGGGCCCGCACAAGCGGUGGAGCAUGUGGUUUAAUUCGAUGCAACGCGAAGAACCUUACCUACUCUUGACAUCCAGAGAACUUUCCAGAGAUGGAUUGGUGCCUUCGGGAACUCUGAGACAGGUGCUGCAUGGCUGUCGUCAGCUCGUGUUGUGAAAUGUUGGGUUAAGUCCCGCAACGAGCGCAACCCUUAUCCUUGUUUGCCAGCGAGUAAUGUCGGGAACUCCAGGGAGACUGCCGGUGAUAAACCGGAGGAAGGUGGGGACGACGUCAAGUCAUCAUGGCCCUUACGAGUAGGGCUACACACGUGCUACAAUGGCGCAUACAGAGGGCAGCAAGCUAGCGAUAGUGAGCGAAUCCCAAAAAGUGCGUCGUAGUCCGGAUUGGAGUCUGCAACUCGACUCCAUGAAGUCGGAAUCGCUAGUAAUCGUGGAUCAGAAUGCCACGGUGAAUACGUU